UACAGGGGGGGCAAGCGUUGUUCGGAAUUACUGGGCGUAAAGGGCUCGUAGGCGGCCAACUAAGUCAGACGUGAAAUCCCUCGGCUUAACCGGGGAACUGCGUCUGAUACUGGAUGGCUUGAGUUUGGGAGAGGGAUGCGGAAUUCCAGGUGUAGCGGUGAAAUGCGUAGAUAUCUGGAGGAACACCGGUGGCGAAGGCGGCAUACUGGACCACCUCUGACGCUGAGGCGCGAAAGCCAGGGGAGCAAACGGG
rnacentral:rRNA from 1 species